GACGAACGCUGGCGGCGUGCUUAACACAUGCAAGUCGAGCGGUGCGGGAACGGGUGAGUAACGCGUGAGUAACCUGCCCCCUCCCUGGGAUAACAGUUGGAAACGGCUACUAAACCGGAUAGGUGGACUCGCGUCCUAUCAGCUUGUUGGUGGGGUAGUGGCCUCCCUAGGCGACGACGGGUAGCCGGCCUGAGAGGGGGACCGGCCACAUUGGAACUGAGAUACGGCCCAAACUCCUACGGGAGGCAGCAGUAGGGAAUCUUGGGCAAUGGACGCAAGUCUGACGUAGCAACGCCGCGUGUAUGAAGAAGGUUUUCGGAUCGUAAAACUCUGUUGGUAGAGAAGCGGUAUCUAACCAGAAAGCCACGGCUAACUACGUGCCAGCAGCCGCGGUAAUAC
rnacentral:rRNA from 1 species